UAGAUUGAAGCCAGUUGAAUAAGGCGAUUAGCUGUUAACUAAGAGUUUAUAGGUUUAAGUCCUGUCAAUCUAG
rnacentral:tRNA from 2 species